rnacentral:rRNA from 1 species
UACGUAGGGUGCGAGCGUUGUCCGGAAUUAUUGGGCGUAAAGAGCGUGUAGGCGGCCAUACAGGUCCGUUGUGAAAACUGGAGGCUUAACCUCCAGACGUCGAUGGAAACCGUAUGGCUAGAGUCCGGAAGAGGAGAGUGGAAUUCCUGGUGUAGCGGUGAAAUGCGCAGAUAUCAGGAAGAACACCCGUGGCGAAGGCGGCUCUCUGGGACGGUACUGACGCUGAGGCGCGAAAGCGUGGGGAGCGAACAGG